UCUUCAAAGUAAUCUAAAUUCCUCUACCAAGAGUGUCUAUAUUAAUAAGUAAAAAUAUGAAUCUUAAUGAGUUGUAUCUGUUUCUCUUAAUGAAGUUUAGCAUUUUAAAAUGUCACUUGUCUGACAAGAGAAGACUGUUUCAUAUCCGAGGGCACAGAUAAUCACAUCCAAUUGUAUUAAAACACACAGCUAAUUAGAUGUCUAAUUGCUAUAGUAUCUAUUUCUUUCUUCUCUCUGAAGUCUUCGGCACACCCACCACCCCACCACCUUACAUUGUGAACUUCAAGUAUGGAAAGGAAGAAGCUUACAUUUGCUGGUGGAAUUACUUGGAAUCACAGAUGUACAUUGAAGCUGGACCCAUUUCUACCCACAGAUGAUGAUAUUGCACUUGCAACCACAAGCAGAGAACUUUCACAGAGAAAUUACAAUGCCUAAACAAAAGACAUAGCAAGAAGAGGAAAACCUGGAUUACAAAAUUAUUUUUACGGCAUCAGUUUAUUUCUUCAAUAAAAAAAAUGUAGUCCAAGACUGUGGGAAAACUCCAUCACCCUCAGCUGAAGGAACUUGGUUCAAUCCAGAACUCAAGAGAUACCCAACAAAGAGCAAAUGGUUUUGGAUUAGAGACUUUUAAAAGAGGACAUCAUUGAAACUGGUAUAGUACACUGUAAUGGUGCUGAUGAUGGGGAUACAGAAGAUAUGGAAAGGUGGUUCUCCUAGACCUUAUUGGCAGGUU